AGAGUUUGAUCCUGGCUCAGAACGAACGUUGGCGGCGCGUUUUAAGCAUGCAAGUCGAGCGGCAAGGGCCUUCGGGCCCCUAGAGCGGCGGACGGGUGAGUAACACGUGGACAAUCUGCCCCCCGGUCCGGGAUAGCCCAGGGAAACCUGGAUCAAUACCGGAUGCGAGCGCGGCCACAGAAGUGGCUGCGGGGAAAGGCGCUUCGGCGCCGCCGGGGGAUGAGUCCGCGGCCCAUUAGCUAGACGGCGGGGUAAAGGCCCACCGUGGCGACGAUGGGUAGCCGGCCUGAGAGGGUGAUCGGCCACAUUGGAACUGAGACACGGUCCAGACUCCUACGGGAGGCAGCAGCUAAGAAUCUUCCGCAAUGGGCGAAAGCCUGACGGAGCGACGCCGCGUGAACGAUGAAGGCCGUGAGGUUGUAAAGUUCUUUUCGGGAGGGGGAAUAAGCGUGGCAGGCAAUGGCCGCGCGAUGACGUGAAUCCCGGAAUAAGCCCCGGCUAACUACGUGCCAGCAGCCGCGGUAACACGUAGGGGGCGAGCGUUGUUCGGAAUCAUUGGGCGUAAGGGGCGUGCAGGCGGCCCUGCAAGUCCGGCGUGAAAUGUCCCGGCUCAACCGGGGAGACGCGCUGGAAACUGUGGGGCUUGAGUACAGGAGGGGAUGCCGGAAUUCCAGGUGUAGGGGUGAAAUCUGUAGAUAUCUGGAGGAACACCAAUGGCGAAGGCAGGCAUCUGGCCAUGUACUGACGCUGAGACGCGAAGGUGCGGGGAGCAAACAGGUUUAGAUACCCUGGUAGUCCGCACAGUA
rnacentral:rRNA from 1 species